UACGGGGGGGGCUAGCGUUGUUCGGAAUUACUGGGCGUAAAGGGCGCGUAGGCGGCCUACUAAGUCGGACGUGAAAUCCCUCGGCUCAACCGGGGAACUGCGUCCGAUACUGGUGGGCUCGAAUCCGGGAGAGGGAUGUGGAAUUCCAGGUGUAGCGGUGAAAUGCGUAGAGAUCUGGAGGAAUACCGAUGGCGAAGGCAGCCCCCUGGCCUGAUACUGACGCUGAGGUGCGAAAGCAUGGGGAGCAAACAGG
rnacentral:rRNA from 1 species